rnacentral:rRNA from 1 species
GUGGGGAAUUUUGGACAAUGGGCGCAAGCCUGAUCCAGCAAUGCCGCGUGCAGGAAGAAGGCCUUCGGGUUGUAAACUGCUUUUGUACGGAACGAAACGGUCCGGGUUAAUACCCUGGGCUAAUGACGGUACCGUAAGAAUAAGCACCGGCUAACUACGUGCCAGCAGCCGCGGUAAUACGUAGGGUGCAAGCGUUAAUCGGAAUUACUGGGCGUACAGCGUGCGCAGGCGGUUUUGUAAGACAGGCGUGAAAUCCCCGGGCUCAACCUGGGAAUUGCGCUUGUGACUGCAAGGCUGGAGUGCGGCAGAGGGGGAUGGAAUUCCGCGUGUAGCAGUGAAAUGCGUAGAUAUGCGGAGGAACACCGAUGGCGAAGGCAAUCCCCUGGGCCUGCACUGACGCUCAUGCACGAAAGCGUGGGGAGCAAACAGGAUUAGAAACCCCGGUAGUCC